UUUUCAUUAUUUUAACGUUACUAUAAUAGGUAAUACAAAUUAUAUGUACUUCAUCAAUAAUUUCAAAAUAUUAUUAGACACCAGAAUGCUGUUAUUGUCGGAUAUCAGCAUAAAGCUGAUUUUUGAAAAUUUUUAAGUGUUAGGUUCUCUUACAUCCGGAUCGUGUUAGUAAACCAACCGGACUUGUAAAUUCAAUAUUACAAUUUCACUGCACCAGUACUAGAUAAUGGUUAGAAAACGUAUUCGUAUACCUAACACUCAGGAAAUGAAAUAAAUAUACCAAUGUAAAACCAUUUCAAGUGUUUAGAUCAAUGCAAUAAUAUAAUGAAAUACGAUUCACUGGAAAAAAAAAAAAACUUUUGUACGAAUAGUGAUGGCGUCUUGAAUAUGACUUGUGUAGUGAACUUGGUGUAUUGUAUAGACUGUGGUUAGAUAUUGCGGCGUCAGACCAACACAUCGGCGUGUGGUGUUGAGUGCAGCAUCCAAUUGAUGUUUUGAAUCGAUCGAACAUUCACACGGAUUUGUCUAGUGACUUAUACCGUAUAAUACCGUAUUGCGAGUGUUGCAAUUUUUUUUGCAUGAUUUGCAUGAAUUGAGUCUUAGUUAUAAUAUGAUAUUAUAUAAGAUUAUGUUUCCUUUA